CCUGAACGCUGAAGCUGCCAUGGAUAUCUCAGAGGGCCGUUCAGCUGCCAACUCCAUCUCUGAGUCUGGGCCAGUGGGACUAAAGUCUCAGAAGGACCUGGAAAAUAUCGGGUCUUUGCCUUCAUUAGUCAUAUGGGCACCUCUACCAUCUGUGGUCACUACAUCUGCCACAUCAAGAAGGAGGGCAGAUGGGUGAUCCACAACCACCAGAAAGUGGGUGCCUCUGAGAAGCCACCCAAGGACCUGGAAUACAUCUACUUCUACCAGAGAGUGGCCAGCUAA
rnacentral:lncRNA from 1 species